UUGAAUAAAGUUAGCAAUAAGGAUUAUAUUAGCUUCUUGGCCUAUUCCCCAAAUGGUACAACCUUUCUGUCUAGCAAUGACUUUUCAAGGAAAAAGAGGGAUGCAAACUUCUUGGUACGAUUAUAUGACCAGAUAGUGGAGGGGGUGGGAGAUAAGCAUGUGGUCCAGUUCGAGAUAAGCAUGUGGUCCAGUUUAUUACAUACAAUGCAGGUGCUUGUGUUUUUGCAGAUAACAAGUUGAUGGAUAAGAGGAAGCAUCUAGUAUGGAUUCCGUGUGCUGCACACAACAUCGAUCUUAUGUUAGAGGAGAUAGGCGAGAUCAAAAUUGUGAAGGAGACUCUAGAGGCAGCGAGGUUCGUGUCAAGAUUAAUAUAUAACCACUCUAAAAUCUUAUUUUUAUUCAGAGAACAAUCUCAGAAAAAAAGAGAUAAUCAGGCCAGCCAUAACCUGCUUUGUGACAGAUUACUUGGUUGUGGACUCCAUUCAAGAAUCCCAUGCUGCAUUGAAGAGAUUGUUUACCAGCAAAAAGUGGUCAAAUGACAGUCUCUCGAAGUCCAGUAAUGAGCUAAAAGUGGAGGGCAUAGUCACAGAUAGGAGGUUUUGGUCUCGGUGUUCCAAUGUCAUAGAGGCCAUUGCCCCUUUGGUCACAAUGUUAAGAAUGGUGGAUGCUGAUAAAAAAGCUACCAUGGGCAUUCUUUACGAAGGUAUCGAGAGGGUCAAAUCAGCUAUUGGGGAGAAGUGUAGUUUUGCUAGUAAAGGGAUCGAGAUUACAGAAAGAAGGUGGAACCCCAAAUUUGACCGUCCAAUUCAUUAUGCAGGUUACUACUUCAACCCAAUUUUUUUUAUUUGACACCUAAACAUCCCCACAAGAUUAUGGAAGGGGUCAGAUACAUUAUUGUCAGGCUGGACAGAAGCCAUCGAAACACGGUAGCGGCAAUACAUGAGUUGAAUGGUGGGAGAUAUUUGGUAGUGAUGCACCUCAC